CUUUUAAAAUAUUAAUACUUAAACCCUUAUGUGAUUCAGCUUUAAAAUACGUGAUGGAGAAAUGAGAAGAAAAUACCUUCUUCUGGAGAAGCACACAAUUUUAAAAUUUAUCUCUUUUAGAAAUGAGUUUUCACACAAACACAUCUUGCAUCCCACUAGAGUUGCUCUGCUUAGGCUUCCAUCCCAGAUAGUAUCCUAGUAAUGUGUAAAACUGAAGUAAUUUGGGAAGUAUUCGCUGUGCCUAGGAGGAAUGAGGGGCACAAAGAACCAGAAGGAAAGUGGGGGUUGUCCUGGCUUGGACCACGACACGCACGCUGUAGCCGCAGCCUGGCAGCAAGCUGGUGCAGAGCAGCAUUAGACCGGAGGUGGGUAUUGGCAUGGCCACGCAGCCUGGAGUGGGGAUUGCAGAGCUGCCCCUUGCUUGCCUCCUCCCAGACUUGAGUUUUGGGCUGUCUGAGGCAAGCUGUCUGACCCUCCACCUGUGUCCAAAUGGUUCACAAGGUGACCGUUUAGGUUGGUUUGGGUAAGCAGCUGCAAGGUGACAAAAGCGCUGCCUUGCAGAAAAAUUGUAAUAAACGAUUGAGUUUGAUCUCAGCUGAACUGAAACAAGGUUAAAAAAAACCCCAACCCCACAUAGCACAACGCAGCAGCCAUGGAUUUAUGCCUGCUGCUGAUUUCACAGCACCAUACGAGCAUGGAAAAGCUGCUUGAGCUCCCAUGUACACUGAAGCACAGGGGCUGCUGUGGAUGUGUGGAGCCACAGACCCCCUGUUAGUGAAAUCCCCACCAAACACAAACCCUCCCUGUCACUUCAGCUAACACUCUCCUCCUGAGAAACAACUAAUCUUUGCAUGCCUCUGCCUUUCCCAACACAUCCUGGUUCACAAGUUCAGCUGCUUCAAAGUUGCAUCUGAUCAUUAACCCUGAAAGAUCAGAGAUUACUGAACAGUUUAAACUGCAUGUUUGAGGUGGCUGAGGCAUAAAGUUCAGGCACAAGUCUGCACCCAAAUCCUGAGACCAUCUUCCCAAAGUUCAAGAGGCAGAUUCAGACCGAGGGUUUCAGUUCAGCUGUGUGAUGCUUCAGCAUCAUGUAGGUUUGUGUCUUCAUUUCUUUUUAGAGCUGCUUUCAUGCAGCUGCUAUUUCAAAAGUGACUGUGAAUUUUGAGUGCUUCUGGCCUUGCAGCCUGUCGUGAGUGUGGCUGAGCUUAUAGCUCCCGGGGGCUUCAGCUGGAGAGACGAGAGAGUCCAAGUAAAAGCCCCACAAGUCACAGGUUUUCAUUUAUGCCAUCAACUUUGCUAGAAAAUUACUCUUUUGUUAUGCAUUUUCUCUGUCACUUUUAUUCCUGAUAAGAUAGGUACAGAAGAAAGUGCUGUUUGUGACCAUGUUAUACAUAAAAACAACAACAGAAGACAAGCUUCAUCUAUCAUGGGAACAAACUCCAUGCGCUCAGCACCAUGUUCAUGACAGCCUGUUGCUUUGCCUGCUCCAGCAGCAUCCGACCUGUCUGCGCUAAACCAGGGGAAGGGGUCAGAAGCACUUGUACUACAGGCACCUGUUGAUCUCCAAAACGGAAGUGACUCAUGAAUUGCUGCAGGUCCAGCUCUAGAAGAUGCCCAAGUGCUGCUUGACCCAGUGUUCUCCAUGUGCCUGCAGGAAGUGACUCCCCCAGCAGAAGUGAGGGCAGCAGAGACAAAGAUGAAUGGCUCAUUUCCCCCAUAACACACCACAGAAACAGACUUUUAUGAAAAAUAGAGCACAGACCAAGACAGAAAGGGCAACAGUCAUUUUCAAAGGUCAGACAUACCAUUUCUUUAUGGCAAGUUUGCCUUCUGUGACGGGCAAAAGCAGGAUGGACCAAAUGUUUUCCAACAGACCUGGAUUAAAAAUGAAGUCAUGUUACUUGGAGAACUGACAGUCCCACCAGAAAUAAUAGAGGCUGCUGUCAGUUCUGGCUUCACAAUAAAAAGCAUCUUCCCACGUUGUCAAAAGCUUCUCUGGUAUGGUCAUAAAUAACGCAUUAUUUGAAUGGAAAUGUUAAUGGCAGAGAGAUAUAAAUCAUAUUGGUCUGUUGUAAAAAUACACCGUAGCUGAAAAAUGUUUCUUGUUUCUCAUAUAUGUGAAAAUAUAUGUGUGUGUAUAAACAAGAUAUGCAUGUCUAUUCAUAUCACUAGAUAUUUAUGCAUAAUUCUAUGCAUGUGUUGUACACAUAUUGGUAGCUAAAAAUACUUAGUAAUCAGUCCUUCCCCUAAGAGCAAACCGUUGAUGUGAUACACUGAAGGCUGUUGUGCAAGAUUUGACUAAGUAUCAUCUUUCCCAUAUAUAAAGGUUGUAACGUAGCAACCAUUGUUUUCUGCUCAGAAGACACUAUUUCUGGGAUGAUCACCACUACCAUGGCACUGCUGCUAGAAACUGGGGGUGUCCCCACCACCCCAGAGGUUGACACUAAUGGGGACACCACAGAAGUAUCCUGUGAUUUGUGCUGUGAGUGAAUCCCCUGGCAGGGAGCAGGAAGGGA